rnacentral:rRNA from 1 species
UAGGUUAACGAGGCGAACCGGGGGAACUGAAACAUCUAAGUACCCCGAGGAAAAGAAAUCAACCGAGAUUCCCCCAGUAGCGGCGAGCGAACGGGGAGCAGCCCAGAGUCUGAAUCAGCUUGUGUGUUAGUGGAACGGUCUGGAAAGUCCGACGGUACAGGGUGAUAGUCCCGUACACCAAAAUGCACAGGUUGUGAACUCGAAGAGUAGGGCGGGACACGUGGUAUCCUGUCUGAAUAUGGGGGGACCAUCCUCCAAGGCUAAAUACUCCUGACUGACCGAUAGUGAACCAGUACCGUGAGGGAAAGGCGAAAAGAACCCCGGCGAGGGGAGUGAAAAAGAACCUGAAACCGUGUACGUACAAGCAGUGGGAGCACCUUCGGGUGUGACUGCGUACCUUUUGUAUAAUGGGUCAGCGACUUAUAUUCUGUAGCAAGGUUAACCGUAUAGGGGAGCCGCAGGGAAACCGAGUCUUAACUGGGCGUUAAGUUGCAGGGUAUAGACCCGAAACCCGGUGAUCUAGCCAUGGGCAGGUUGAAGGUUGGGUAACACUAACUGGAGGACCGAACCGACUAAUGUUGAAAAAUUAGCGGAUGACUUGUGGCUGGGGGUGAAAGGCCAAUCAAACCGGGAGAUAGCUGGUUCUC